rnacentral:rRNA from 1 species
UACGGAGGGUGCGAGCGUUGUCCGGAAUCACUGGGCGUAAAGCGUGCGUAGACGGUUAUGUAAGUCAGGUGUGAAAGCCCCGGGCUCAACCUGGGAAUUGCAUUUGAGACUGCAUAGCUAGGGUGCGGAAGAGGGAAGCGGAAUUUCCGGUGUAGCGGUGAAAUGCGUAGAUAUCGGAAGGAACACCAGUGGCGAAAGCGGCUUCCUGGUCCAGCACCGACGUCAGGCACGAAAGCGUGGGGAGCAAACAGG